UACGGAGGGUGCAAGCGUUAUCCGGAUUCAUUGGGUUUAAAGGGAGCGUAGGCGGAUUGGUAAGUCAGUGGUGAAAUCUGUGGGCUUAACCCACAAACUGCCAUUGAUACUGCUGAUCUAGAGUACAGUUGCCGUUGGCGGAAUAUGACAUGUAGUGGUGAAAUACUUAGAUAUGUCAUAGAACACCGAUUGCGAAGGCAGCUAACGAAGCUGUAACUGACGCUGAGGCUCGAAAGUGCGGGGAUCAAACAGG
rnacentral:rRNA from 1 species